rnacentral:rRNA from 1 species
UACGAAGGGGGCUAGCGUUGUUCGGAAUUACUGGGCGUAAAGCGUGCGCAGGCGGCCUUCCAAGUCAGGGGUGAAAGCCCAGAGCUCAACUCUGGAAUUGCCUUUGAGACUGUGAGGCUUGAGUACGGGAGAGGUGAGUGGAAUUCCCAGUGUAGAGGUGAAAUUCGUAGAUAUUGGGAAGAACACCGGUGGCGAAGGCGGCUCACUGGCUCGUAUCUGACGCUCAGGCGCGAUAGCGUGGGGAUCAAACAGG